rnacentral:rRNA from 1 species
UGCGCAGGCGGCUUAUUAAGUCAGUGGUGAAAUCUCUCGGCUCAACCGAGAAACUGCCAUUGAAACUGAUAAGCUUGAGUGUAGUUGUAGUAGGCGGGAUAUAGCAUGUAGCGGUGAAAUGCUUAGAUAUGCUAUAGAACACCGAUCGCGAAGGCAGCUUACUAAACUAUCACUGACGCUCAUGCACGAAAGCGUGGGGAGCAAACAGGAUUAGAUACCCUGGUAGUCC